rnacentral:rRNA from 1 species
AGUGAACGCUGGCGGUAGGCCUAACACAUGCAAGUCGAACGGCAACACAGUAAUUGCUUGCUCUUACGGGUGUCGACUGGCGGACAGGUGAGGAAUAACUCGGAAUCUACUUUUUCGUGGGGGAUAACGUAGGGAAACUUACGCUAAUACCUCAUACGACCUACGGGUGAAAGCAGGGGGUCUUCGGACCUUGCGCGCUUGAGUGUGCCGAUGUCGGAUUAGCUAGUUGGCGGGGUAAAGGCCCACCAAGCCGACGAUCCGGAGCUGGUCUGAGAGGAUGAUCAGGCACAGUGGAACUGAGACACGGUCCAGACUCAUACGGGAGGCAGCAGUGGGGAAUAGUGGACAAUGGGCGCAAGCCUGAUCCAGCCAUAGCGCGUGGGUGAAGAAGGCCUUCGGGUUGUAAAUCUCUUUUGUUGGGAAAGAAAAGCAGCAGGUUAAUAUCCCGCUGUUCUGACGGUACCCAAAGAAUAAGCACCGGCUAACUUCGUG